rnacentral:rRNA from 1 species
CCUACGGGAGGCAGCAGUGGGGAAUAUUGCACAAUGGGGGAAACCCUGAUGCAGCGACGCCGCGUGAAGGAAGAAGUAUUUCGGUAUGUAAACUUCUAUCAGCAGGGAAGAAAAUGACGGUACCUGACUAAGAAGCCCCGGCUAACUACGUGCCAGCAGCCGCGGUAAUACGUAGGGGGCAAGCGUUAUCCGGAUUUACUGGGUGUAAAGGGAGCGUAGACGGCAGCGCAAGUCUGGAGUGAAAUGCCGGGGCCCAACCCCGGAACUGCUUUGGAAACUGUGCAGCUGGAGUGCAGGAGAGGUAAGCGGAAUUCCUGGUGUAGCGGUGAAAUGCGUAGAUAUUAGGAGGAACACCAGUGGCGAAGGCGGCUUACUGGACUGUAACUGACGUUGAGGCUCGAAAGCGUGGGGAGCAAACAGGAUUAGAUACCCGAGUAGUC